GCGCUCAAUACAUUAUAACUAUCAUUAUUUUUAUGGUUCUAUUUAAGGAAAAAUUGAACUUAGGUGACCUUUGCAGGGAUUCCAAGCCCAGGGUGCUCCAAAAAUUUUAGGUUUGCCAGUUUACAGAUUCUACCACUUUGGUAGGAUGGUCAGGGUGAAAGAUAAAAUCACUCUUGAGAGCAAAAUGUGAAUGUUAAAUUCUCUUGCUUUAUUUAUACCUUGUGAAUAAGAAGUUUUAAUCUAUGUAACUUCAGUUUAUGAAUUGACAUUUGGCAGACCAAUCUCAUUAAAUUUAUGGAUGGUCUAAUUGUGGAUUAUUUAAACAAAGAAUCAUGCAAACAUUCUGACUGCUAAAGAAUAACUGCUUUUUGUAUUUUUAAAAAAUAUUAUUAUGUCCGGAAGCCGGCAGCUACCUCAGCCCUCAGACCAGUGCUUGAGACAGGGCAGUGGUGGACGCGCUGGGUUGCGUUUCCCCCAGUCUGGGCCUUGCAUGUCUGUAACGGUGGGAAAGGAAAAUGGCCUUGCUGUGCUACAACCGGGGCUGCGGUCAGCGCUUCGAUCCCGAGACCAAUUCCGAAGAUGCUUGCACAUACCACCCAGGUGUUCCAGUCUUGCAUGAUGCAUUAAAGGGUUGGUCUUGCUGUAAGAGAAGAACAACUGAUUUUACUGAUUUCUUAAGCAUUGUAGGCUGUACAAAAGGUAGACAUAACAGUGAGAAGCCACCUAAGGCAGUCAAACCUGAAGUCAAGACUUCUGAGAAGAAAGAACUAUCUGAAUUGAAACCUAAAUUUCAGGAGCACCUCAUUCAAGCCCCCAAACCGGUAGAAGCAAUAAAAAGGCCCAGCCCAGAUGAACCAAUGACAAAUUUGGAAUUAAAAAUAUCUGCCUCCCUAAAAUAAGCACUUGAUAAACUUAAACUGUCAUCAGGGAAGAAGAUAAGAAAGAGGAAGAUAAUGACGAAAUUAAGAUUGGGACCUCAUGUAAAAAUGGAGGGUGUUCAAAGACAUAUCAGCAUCUACAGAGUCUAGAAGAAGUCUGUAUAUAUCAUUCUGGAGUACCUAUUUUCCAUGAGGGGAUGAAAUACUGGAGCUGUUGUAGAAGAAAAACUUCAGAUUUUAAUACAUUCUUAGCCCAAGAGGGUUGUACAACAGGGAAACACAUGUUGACUAAAAAGGAUGCUGGGAAAAAAGUUGUUCCAUGUAGGCAUGACUGGCAUCAGACUGGAGGUGAAGUCACCAUUUCAGUAUAUGCUAAAAAUUCACUUCCAGAACUUAGUCUAGUAGAAGCAAAUAGUACAUUGUUAAAUGUGCACAUUGUAUUUGAAAGAGAGAAGGAAUUUCAUCAAAAUGUGAAAUUAUAGGGUGUGAUUGAUGUAAAGAGAAGUUAUGUAACAAGACUGCAACGAAGAUUGAGAUUACCAUGAGAAAAGCUGAACCUAUGCAAUGGGCAAGCCUUGAACUGCCUGCAAACAAAAAGCAGGAAAAACAAAAAGAAGAUAUAACAGAUUGAGUGGGAAAGAGAGGGGGGAAGCUUUUAGCUAUUUCAACAUUCUUAAUGUGUGAUGAAGUGGUGGCUUGCUGCUAUAAUCUUGUUUUGUUCUUGUGUUGUUGCUAAAUCUGGCAUUUCAGGGUCAAGAUGAGGUUUUUAAAAACCAAAGUCGGUUUAUUUUUUUGUGCUUCCUAUCUUCCUUUUGAGUUAUGUAAGAUUGAUUAUUCAUAUCUCCUCACUGAUAGAACCAUGGUUUGUCCUGUACUUGAGGAAGCUGGAAAAUAGCUCAUAAACAUAUUGCAGAAUUUCUUAGUAUAAUACUAUAUUAAGCAGAGAAAUAUUAAGAACCAUUUUUUUCACAUCUCUAU